rnacentral:rRNA from 1 species
CAUGCAAGUCGAGCGAGAAGCUCAUCACAGAUGCUUCGGUUGAAGUGAUGAGUGGAAAGCGGCGGACGGGUGAGUAACGCGUAGGCAACCUGCCCUUUGCAGAGGGAUAGCCUCGGGAAACCGGGAUUAAAACCUCAUGACACCUCUUAAAGACAUCUUUGAGAGGUCAAAGAUUUAUCGGCAAAGGAUGGGCCUGCGUCUGAUUAGCUAGUUGGUGGGGUAACGGCCUACCAAGGCGACGAUCAGUAGCCGACCUGAGAGGGUGAUCGGCCACAUUGGAACUGAGACACGGUCCAAACUCCUACGGGAGGCAGCAGUGGGGAAUAUUGCACAAUGGGGGAAACCCUGAUGCAGCAACGCCGCGUGAAGGAAGAAGGCCUUUGGGUCGUAAACUUCUGUUCUAAGGGAAGAUAAUGACGGUACCUUAGGAGCAAGUCCCGGCUAACUACGUGCCAGCAGCCGCGGUAAUACGUAGGGGGCAAGCGUUAUCCGGAAUUAUUGGGCGUAAAGAGUACGUAGGUGGUUACCUAAGCACGAGGUAUAAGGCAAUGGCUUAACCAUUGUUCGCCUUGUGAACUGGGCUACUUGAGUGCAGGAGAGGAAAGCGGAAUUCCUAGUGUAGCGGUGAAAUGCGUAGAUAUUAGGAGGAACACCAGUGGC